GGCUGUUGGCGGAUUGCUCGAGCUGCUCACGCGGCGAGAGCGGGUCGCCGCGUGCCGGCCGGGGGACCGGGAAUCGCCCCUUCGGGAGCGCACCCCGAGCAUGAAACAGUCGACUCAGAACUGGUACGGACAAGGGGAAUCCGACUGUUUAAUUAAAACAAAGCAUUGCGAUGGUCCUCGCGGAUGCUGACGCAAUGUGAUUUCUGCCCAGUGCUCUG
rnacentral:ncRNA from 1 species